UGAGUUCGAUCAUGGCUCAGAUUGAACGCUGGCGGGAUGCUUUACACAUGCAAGUCGAACGGCAGCACGGACUUCGGUCUGGUGGCGAGUGGCGAACGGGUGAGUAAUGUAUCGGAACGUGCCUAGUAGCGGGGAUAACGACGCUGAAAGGUAAAUAAUAUCGCAUGUUUGUCUUCGGGGAAAGAAAGUGGUAAUCUUCGUAUUCGCACUAUUAGAGCGGCCGAUAUCGGAUUAGCUGAAGUUGGUGGGGUAACGGCUCAACGUAAGGCAAUGAUCCGUAGCUGGUUUGAGAGGACGACCAGCCACACUGGGACUGGAGACAUCACCUAGACUCCUACGGGAGGCAGCAGGGGGAAUUUGGACAAUGGGGGAAACCCUGAUCCAGCCAUCCUGGCGCGAUAAAGGCCUACGGGUUGUAAAGCACUUUUUGGCAGGAAAAGAAACGGCACGGGAUAAUACCCCGUGCAAUUGACGGUACUCGCAGAAUAAGACCGGCUAACUACGUGCCACAGCCAGCGUAAUACGUAGGGUGCAAGCGUUAACUGGAAAUUACUGGGCGUAAAGCGUGCAGGCGGUUCGGAAAAAGCAAAGAUGUGAAAUCCCAGAGCUUAACUUUGGAACUGCAUUUUUAACUACCGAGCUAGGGAGUGUGUCAGAGGGAGGUGGAAUUCCGCGUGUAGCAGUGAAAUGCGUAGAUAUGCGGAGGAACACCGAUGGCGAAGGCAGCCUCCUGGGAUAACACUGACGCUCAUGCACGAAAGCGUGGGGAGCAAACAGGAUUAGAUACCCUGGUAGUCCACGCCCUAAACGAUGUCAACUAGCUGUUGGGGCCUUCGGGCCUUGGUAGCGCAGCUAACGCGUGAAGUUGACCGCCUGGGGAGUACGGUCGCAAGAUUAAAACUCAAAGGAAUUGACGGGGACCCGCACAAGCGGUGGAUGAUGUGAUUAAUUCGAUGCAACGCGAAAACCUUACCUACCCUUGACAUGUCUGGAAUCCCGAAGAGAUUUGGGAGUGCUCGCAAGAGAACCGGAACACAGGUGCUGCAUGUAUUAAGCCGUCAGCUCGUGUCGUGAGAUGUUGGGUUAAGUCCCGGCAACGAGCGCAACCCUUGUCAUUAGUUGCUACGAAAGGGCACUCUAAUGAGACUGCCGGCAGAACCGAGGAAGGUGGGGAUGACGUCAAGUCCUCAUGGCCCUUAUGGUAGGGCUUCACACGUCAUACAAUGGUCGGGACAGAGGGUCGCCAACCCGCGAGGGGGAGCCAAUCCCAGAAACCCGAUCGGGUCCGGAUCGCAGUCUGCAACUCGACUGCGUGAAGUCGGAAUCGCUAGUAAUCGCGGAUCAGCAUGUCGCGGUGAAUACGUUCCCGGGUCUUGUACACACCGCCCGUCACACCAUGGGAGGGGUUUUACCAGAAGUAGUUAGCCUAACCGUAAGGAGGGCGAUUACCACGGUAGGAUUCAUGACUGGGGUGAAGUCGUAACAAGGUAG
rnacentral:rRNA from 1 species